CAUUUUUUAGCAUGAAAUACCACAUUUGCCCUUAUUAUAAUUACAAAGACAUUUCCACCCUUACUUUUGAAUUGAAAAUUACUCAUAUACACUCAAAACAAUAUACACAUCUGACAUCUCACUCUAAAAACCAAUUUACACGCACGUCUCUCUGUACAUAAUAUAUAUAUUGGUCUCUCUAUAUAUAUAUAUAUACGUAUAUAACCUGGUCCAUCAUAUAUAUAAGCAUCUUACCGUCGGAAUCAAUGGAGCAUCUCGCCGCCGGAAUUUAUGGAAACCCCUCACCGCCGACAGAGCAAUUCUUCUCCUCAGCUCCAUCGUCCACGGCUGCAUCCUAAUCCAAAACCCCCCAUAGAUCAAGACCUAUUUCUUCAUCGAUCUGAACUCCGCAAUCAGCCCAAUCGACAACAACAUUGUCUUAUGCGGAAACAUUAUCCCUGGGAGGACGACCGAGACGAACUGAACGAGUACUAGAAAAGCGACUACUUCACCGUCGUCAAAUCACCGUCGUUUCACAAGUCUCGCAGCUCUCAGUUGAUCUACGACUCGAACCGCUUCACCGGUCAAGCUCGCUAUAGUUUCUGAAUUCGAAUUCACAUCCGAGCAGGAGUUUCGCCGGUGAAUAUUACGACGAUCAUGUCCAUGUCGGCGAAGUCGAGGCGACGGAUGUUCAUGUUUGGACUGAUGAACUUUAAGCCGGAGAUGGUUGUCCGUUGGCUUUACUUGUGGAUGGUAGUGUCCUGUUGAUCGUUAGAGAGGAAGAGUCCGUCAGUGGUGAUGAUUAUGAUGGUGGUGGUUAUGGCCGCGGUGCCACCACCUGUGGUAGUUGUUUGUGUAUGUAUACAUGGUGGGAGGCGGUGGUGUGUAUAUGUAGUUGUGUAUAUUAAUAUAACUUUAUUUUUGGACAAUAUUGUCCUUUCAUAUAAA